GAAGAGUUUGAUCAUGGCUCAGAUUGAACGCUGGCGGCAGGCCUAACACAUGCAAGUCGAACGGUAACAGGAAGCAGCUUGCUGCUUUGCUGACGAGUGGCGGACGGGUGAGUAAUGUCUGGGAAACUGCCUGAUGGAGGGGGAUAACUACUGGAAACGGUGGCUAAUACCGCAUAACGUCGCAAGACCAAAGAGGGGGACCUUCGGGCCUCUUGCCAUCAGAUGUGCCCAGAUGGGAUUAGCUUGUUGGUGAGGUAACGGCUCACCAAGGCGACGAUCCCUAGCUGGUCUGAGAGGAUGACCAGCCACACUGGAACUGAGACACGGUCCAGACUCCUACGGGAGGCAGCAGUGGGGAAUAUUGCACAAUGGGCGCAAGCCUGAUGCAGCCAUGCCGCGUGUAUGAAGAAGGCCUUCGGGUUGUAAAGUACUUUCAGCGGGGAGGAAGGUGUUGUGGUUAAUAACCGCAGCAAUUGACGUUACCCGCAGAAGAAGCACCGGCUAACUCCGUGCCAGCAGCCGCGGUAAUACGGAGGGUGCAAGCGUUAAUCGGAAUUACUGGGCGUAAAGCGCACGCAGGCGGUCUGUCAAGUCGGAUGUGAAAUCCCCGGGCUCAACCUGGGAACUGCAUUCGAAACUGGCAGGCUUGAGUCUUGUAGAGGGGGGUAGAAUUCCAGGUGUAGCGGUGAAAUGCGUAGAGAUCUGGAGGAAUACCGGUGGCGAAGGCGGCCCCCUGGACAAAGACUGACGCUCAGGUGCGAAAGCGUGGGGAGCAAACAGGAUUAGAUACCCUGGUAGUCCACGCCGUAAACGAUGUCUACUUGGAGGUUGUGCCCUUGAGGCGUGGCUUCCGGAGCUAACGCGUUAAGUAGACCGCCUGGGGAGUACGGCCGCAAGGUUAAAACUCAAAUGAAUUGACGGGGGCCCGCACAAGCGGUGGAGCAUGUGGUUUAAUUCGAUGCAACGCGAAGAACCUUACCUGGUCUUGACAUCCACAGAACUUUCCAGAGAUGGAUUGGUGCCUUCGGGAACUGUGAGACAGGUGCUGCAUGGCUGUCGUCAGCUCGUGUUGUGAAAUGUUGGGUUAAGUCCCGCAACGAGCGCAACCCUUAUCCUUUGUUGCCAGCGAUUAGGUCGGGAACUCAAAGGAGACUGCCAGUGAUAAACUGGAGGAAGGUGGGGAUGACGUCAAGUCAUCAUGGCCCUUACGACCAGGGCUACACACGUGCUACAAUGGCGCAUACAAAGAGAAGCGACCUCGCGAGAGCAAGCGGACCUCAUAAAGUGCGUCGUAGUCCGGAUUGGAGUCUGCAACUCGACUCCAUGAAGUCGGAAUCGCUAGUAAUCGUGGAUCAGAAUGCCACGGUGAAUACGUUCCCGGGCCUUGUACACACCGCCCGUCACACCAUGGGAGUGGGUUGCAAAAGAAGUAGGUAGCUUAACCUUCGGGAGGGCGCUUACCACUUUGUGAUUCAUGACUGGGGUGAAGUCGUAACAAGGUAACCGUAGGGGAACCUGC
rnacentral:rRNA from 2 species